UUUUUGAAGAUUGGAAUUCUUCAUAUGUAAAAAGAGAAGAGAAAGACAUUCUUGAUUUUGGUGACUAGAGUUGUAGAUGCUGGAAGCUUUGCCACUAACAUUGAUGAACCAGAUGCAUGUCACCAGCCCAUCACGGUGAUUCUUAAUGCCGGCACCAUGGGCCCGGCACUGCCACGUUUUCCAAGGAACCUGCCGGAGCUCCUGCGGAAGCUGCUCCUCAGGCGAUGGAGUCCCUUCGCUGGUAGGCCCUUCUUCAGUCACCACAGGAUGCCUGCCAUUCAUGAACAAGAAGGAGAGGACGGGCUUUGAAUAAAAAACAGGGAAAAGAACUGAAGAACAGUUUGUUGACUGAGGAGCUGAAGUAUUAAGUACAGAGACACAUAUAUAUUUAAAGACCCUGUGGAAAAAAGUUAAUGAACAAAAAAGAAUUGGAAGAAGAGUAAAAUCCAAAAUGUCAUUGCCCAGAUCAAUGUCAUGGAGCUUGAGCUCAUGAGUUUGAGACCAGCCUGGGCAACAUGGACAACGUCUUAAAAAAAAAAAUUUUAAAGCCGUGUGUGGUGGCAUAUGCCUUUAGUUCCAGCUACUCGGGAGGUUGAGGCAGGAGGAUCACUUGAGGCAGGGAGGUGGGGGCUGCAGUAAGCCAUGAUCAUGCCACUGCAUUCCAGUCUGGGUGACAAGAGACUGUCUCAAGAAACAAAAAAUCAUGUCAUCUGCAAAUGGACAACUCAACGUUUUUCUUUCCAAUUUGGAUGUCUUUUGUUUCUGCUGCCUAGUUGUUCUAACACCUCCAGUACUAUACUGAAUUGAAGUGGCGAGAGGGCAUCCUUGUCUUGUUCUGGAUCUUCUUUCUCCGUUGAUGAUGAUGCUAGCUGUGGCUCUGUCAUAUGUGGCUUUAUAUUGUGUAGUUGCACAUUCUUUAUAGACCUAAUUUGUUGAUAGUUUUCAUCACUAAUAGAUGUUGAAUCUGUCAAAUGCUUUUUUCUGCAUAUAUUUAAUGCUCAUGGAGUCAUAUGGUUUGGAACUCUGUCUCUGCCCAAAUCUCAUGUUCAACUAUAAUCCCCAGUGUUGGAGAUGGGGCCUCUUGGGAGGCGAUUGGGUCAUGGGGGCAGUUUCUCAUGGUUUAACACCAUCCCCCUUGGUGUUUCCAUGGCAAUAGCAAGUUAUCAUGAGAUCAUGUUUAAAAGUGUGUAGUGCCUACCCCCACUCCUCCUGCUCCAGCCAUGUGAUGUGCCAGUUUCCCCUUU
rnacentral:lncRNA from 1 species